rnacentral:tRNA from 1 species
GAGGCCUUAGCUUAAUUAAAGCGUCUGGGUUGCAGUCAGAAGAUGUAAGUUAGAGUUUUACAUGCCUUG